CAAAAUCACACACACACAGAGUUUUAAAAGUAGGUAGGUAGAUAGAUGUGGUAGAUGUGGUAGAUUAACUGGUUAAUAAAGUUAAAUUUGUUAGAAAAUGGGCUUGAUGGCAAAAUUGCUAAAACCCAGCAAUGUGAACCGGUUAAUUUUAUUCUACACUUUUUAUCAAUUAUCUCUCGGCUAACUUUGAAUUAAGAAAACUUGGAACAAGCAGUAACUACCUUAAAUGAGGUGUUUGCAAUACAAUACCAGUUUUUUUAUUACGAAUUGAUAUACAUGUGGUGCAUAGUCCCACUCGUAUCAAAAGAACAUCCAAAGGCAAUAAACAUGAUGAUAACAAAACUGAUUUCCAUGACCAGUAGAAAAUGGGGAGGAAGGAAGGAGAGGCAAUAAAAUAUGAUCACAAGCAGGCAAUCUGAUCGUUAAACCUGCCUAAUUCUUCAGAUGGUUCAUGACUGAUUUGUACUUCAACCCAUUUCUAUACGCUAACCCUUGACACGUCUAGUUAAUGAAAGAGUAUCUAUCCAUCUUAAAUUACAAUUAACCCACAUCCAUAGUUAUUUGAAGACUCUCGGAUUUCCUCCAAGUUUUUGUGUCCUCCUAAAAGGCUUCUAAUUUUUAUCUACAACCACUUACUUUCCCCUUCACUGCAGUACCUUGCCCAACCUCGGGAUUAAAUCUUCUAUCUUUCUUUAAAAAGCGAUUGCCCACCCACUUUAUAAAUUUGAAAGAAUAGAAUCAAAUGUUAUCACACGUUUGCAUAAUUUAGCUUUUAAAACCAGUAGCAAGGCAUCUGUUGCUCUUCAGAAGCAGGCGGUGGGCCACUGUCUUUAACACUAGAAUCAUGUGAACAUUCUGUUCUCCCUGUGCUAUUAGGUAGGAGUGUUCCAGGUCUUUGACCUGGCAACAAUGAAGGGCUGAUAUGGGACAUGGAGGAUAAUUUGCAAAUGGUGAUGGAGGCCACAAGCAGCUGGAGGAGCAAGUAACUAGUGCAUUUCGUAGAUGGUGCUAUUCUGCGCACUGUACACAGGUGGUGCUUGGAAUGAAAGUCGAGGCUGGUGGACAACGGGCUAAUCAAGUGGGCUGCAAAGUGCUGAUAGUGUUUUGCUAUUUUUAUAUAAUUGCAUUCAUCCAGAGAAAUUGAAAUGUUCCAUCCCACUGUCAAUUCGUUCCUUGUUAUAUUAGGAGAUGAGCCACAGGAUAUGCCAACUUUAACCAGCUGUGGUAGUCACAGUAUUUAUAUGGCUGGUCUCUAAAGUCUGAAAUCUAAAUUGGAUUGAAUGACUUUGCUAGAGGAACAGCUUGUUCUGAAGUGCACAUAUUCAGCACUACAGCAAUGCUGUUGGCUGGAUCCAUAGCUGUAUGGUGUGCUCUUGAUAUCAUAGAUCUAAAGCCUAACUUUUGUGAUGUGGGGACCACAGGUGGACCAUUUAUUUUGCACUGUUUACUGACCAUGAUCACGAUUGCUUCAAUCUUCCACUUUCUCUCCAAGUCUCACAUCAUCCUGAGUUUAAAAAUAUAAAAUCACUGGUCAUUUUCUUCAUCUAUGGCAUAAUAUUUCAGACCGUUAGCAAUAUAAGCAGUGCUAUACUGCAGCUUCAGUAGGCUGACAUCUUAUUUUUUGGUAUAUCUAUUGCUGGUCCCAACAUGCUCUUCUUGUUCCCACCAAUCCCCAGUUUGAAAGAAAUGGUAGAGGGAUGUCACAGAUUGUGAUAUUGUUCAUUACUGCUUCUGCUGACGAUCUCCAGUAACUCCUGCAUUCUGCCAGGUCUGAGUUUAUUGCAUUAGCAUGGAUAGCUAUUAUUU